AUUUGUAUGCCUGUAUUUAUUGAACCCAAUGAUCCCUACCUGGUCUUUUAAAUGGUAUUGUGUUACUCUAACUUUUAGGUCAGCAGAUAACUAAGCAACUCUCCAGUGGUAGUCCACACCGCCCCUUCAGUGGGAGCACUACCUAUGCCACCUUGCUACAGUACUGCUUUGACAGUGGAACAGAGCCUAGCACAAUGGAUGGAGUCCUAGUCAAUGAUGGGGUGGUUCCUAGACUCUAAGAAAUGGCUGCUGCUUAGCUAUCUACAUUACGAGUGUUGUCAGAGAAUUACACAGGGAUAGAGAGAGGAAAGAAAAGCCGUCUAGUCAUCACAUGCACUGCUAAUCACCAACUCCUGAAGGAAAGUGACAAACCCAGCUGAAUCAGCUGGGUAAGAAUGGUUUGGUAUACAGAGCCUGGGCUGGAUAAGGCAUUUUUAGCUGCCGCAUGCCCAAAAAUGUCCAUGGAGUUAUUGGCCAGCAAAUGCUGCAGACUUGGCUUCUGGUCAUCUCUUUUAGUCACAAAGGAGUGAAUGAAGACUGUGUAGACAAAGCCAAAGGAGAGAGAGCUACAACCAAGCAAGAGAGUGAUUUUGCCUUAUGAAAUAAGAUUAGAAUAUAUUAUGGGCGUCAAGAAACUGAAAUUAAGUGUUUAUCAUGUGAUGGUGCCCAAAAGUCAGCUCACUUCAUCACAGAAGAUGCUUUAAGAUCUUGGAACUGGGGACUGUGGAUUUCCAUUGGGCUUCUUAGCAAAAGAGAAGGUGACAAAGAGAAGAGGAGAUGGACUGGAAACAGCUGAAGGCUACAGAAAUAAGAACAUAUGUUUGAUUAGUUUAGGCAGGUACCUGUUCAAGUAAUUUAUAUAAAAGUGGGAUGUCAACCAUGAUAAUCUAUAUACUCAAUUUAGUUAUUGGGGGAUGUCAUGGAAAAUGUCAAUUUGCAAAAAGUGUCUAAAUGACAUGAGGGUGCUUUCAUAAUGAACCAGGCCAUGGAGAGUUUUCCAAACUUCAGGCUUCAAAGUUCAUUGCUUUUAAAGUAUUACAGCUACUUGGUCUCAGGUUUCCUUCCUCACGUUAUUCAUUUCUCUACUCAUCUAGCCUCUUAACAUUUUAUUCUCAUUUUCAGGUACACAUAAAGCAACAAGAAUUCCUCCAAUUUUAUUUUCUGUUUAAAGCUGGUAAAGCUUGAUUUUAGAAUGACAGUAGAAUGAGAGAAAAUUCAGAGGUUGUCAGUCAUUGCCUUAAACAUAGCCUUUUUGUGCUUGUCUCAAUAAUGAGAAACUGUUAGACACAAUUUAAGAGGCAUCAACCUGUUACCUGAUCAUCCUGUGAGCUAGGGAGCUUACACAGUUAUAAUGAUAAGAUUUGCUUUUUGACUGCUUGUUACUUUCCAAUGUGAAGUCGGCUCAUUAGCAUGGAGUUUUCCUCAAAAUCUCAAAGGGUUGCAGCAACAAGUUUGAAAUGAAAAAUUUUACCAGUCUGAUCUGAAAGAUCACUUGUCAGAGACAAACACUGCCAUGUAAAGAAGCAUAAAGUGCUUCAAUAAUUCUUCUCUCUGUUCCUGAACCUGUAACUGUGCUUUGAGACUUUCUAGCACUUGAUAAAAAGAAACUGAUUUAA